GUGAGUGAGAGUUGGCGCCCCUGUCCCCUUGUUUGGCACCACCCUGCUGAGAAACCGUCCAUUAGCGAAAGAUGAACGCAGAGCUUAUCAACAUCAACAUAACAGAAGCGUCCUCGUCCUGAAGAACUAUUUACACGACCCGCCCACUCGGUGCCCACGACUAGGCUUAGGAUACUCGUUUCGUAUCUUACUUUAUUACCUAAUCUAAGGGAACAAAAAAUAAAACAACUCA